AGGACACGCUGGCGGCGUGGAUUAGGCAUGCAAGUCGAACGGUAGGAUACUUUCGGGUAUCUGAGAGUGGCGAACGGGUGAGUAACACGUAGGUGAUCUACCCUCAAGAUUGGGACAACCCAGGGAAACUUGGGCUAAUACCGGAUGAAAGCAGCAGUGAUGUUGUUUGAAAGGUGGCGUAAGCUGCCGUUUGGGGAUGAGCCUGCGCUCUAUUAGUUAGUUGGCGGGGUAAAGGCCCACCAAGGCGAUGAUAGAUAGGCGGCCUUAACGGGUGGUCGCCCACACUGGGAUUGAGAUACGGCCCAGACUCCUACGGGAGGCAGCAGUCGAGAAUAGUCUACAAUGGCCGAAAGGCUGAUAGUGCGACGCCGCGUGAACGAAGAAGCCCUUCGGGGUGUAAAGUUCUUUUAUAUGUGAGCAGUGCUUUUCAUGUUAACAGCAUGGGGAGAGAGAUAUUAGCAUAUGAAUAAGCAACGGCUAACUCCGUG
rnacentral:rRNA from 1 species